rnacentral:lncRNA from 1 species
UCCCUUGUUUUUCUAUGUUAUUUGGAACUUACAGGAUAGGUUCUUUUCCAAAAAAAUAUUCUUUUUUCACUGCAGUAACAUUUAUCUCUUGCCAAAACUUUACUAAUUGUUUUUCACUCAAAGUUUGUUUUGAAUUCUGUCUCAAUGAUUGACAGCUUCAUUUACCCAUGGAAGGCCCUAAAUUUUCAUCCCUAGGCAUGUAAAACCUAGAAAAGAGACAUGCUAGAUAUCCCAGUCAUUCACUAGUUUGGUGUACACUAUCUGUAUACAAAAUAAACCAUUUCUCAUGAUAAAAGAGGGUCUUUUUGAAUUGGAGAAGCAACAAAUCAUAUGUAACAAUUAAUGCUUUUGCAUAGC